UAAUUGGCUUCUGAUUGCGAUUGCCCCAUGUGUUUUUCAUUGAACAACUUGCUUUGGCGGUGGGCCCACCCUGUCCCCAAAGGUCUAAACUUACAACCAUUUUUUUAUCCACUUGUGACACCUUUUUAUUUCUAAUAAUCAAAACUUUCAACAACGGAUCUCUUGGUUCUCGGAUCUAUGAAAAACGCAACGAAAUGCGAUACGUAAUAUGAAUUGCAGAUAUUCCUGAAUCAUCGAAUCUUUGAACGCACAUUGCGCCCUCUGGUAUUCCAGAGGGCAUGCCUGUUUGAUCGUCAUUUCUCCCUCAAACCCCGGGGUUUGGUGUUGAGCAAUACGACUUGGGUUUGCUUGAAAGACGGGAAUGAAAAGGCGGGAUCUCUUUGCCUAAGGCUUAAGGCUUACCAAAAACUUUGCUGGCCACUUAAUACGUCCACCACGGAUUUUUUCUAAAUUUGACCUCAAAUCCCGUUGGACUUCCCGCUUAACUUUGUCAGAGGAAUAAUCGGAGGAA
rnacentral:rRNA from 1 species